CAAUAAAAAAUAAAUGCAAGUAAAUAAUAUUGCAGCUCUGCUCGGCUGAACUCCGGCCGGUUCUGUCUCUCUCACCUUCUUCUUCAACUGGUAGAGAAGUUGUCUUCCUCACCUGUCGGAGUUGCUGUUCUUCCAGUGGUGGAGAAAACAAGUAAUUCAGAAUCUGUUUAUGUGCAAUAGAAGCUCUCGCGAGCAGGCUACGGAAUGAGGUUUAAAAGGAGUGAAGAUACGGUUUUUGAGAGGUCCCUAGAUUCUAUAGCUGUAAGGGUUCCCCGGAGGAGAAGGUUGAACAGAUGGAUAACUUCUGGAGGAUCUUUCCAGUAUUAGGGAAUGAGGCCUAGAUGGGAGAAUUUCUGCUAAUGGAAGCAGAAUUGUGUGUGGGAAUUAAACCAUGUCCUGAGUUGAAAUCGAUUAGUAAAGUUCUCCUUUCCCAUUCUUUGUAAAUUGUCUUUCAAUGAAGAAUCAAUGAAGAAUCUGAUUGCUUGGUAGUUUGAUCAGUGCUGCUCUCUUUCGUUUUUGAUCUAUUAAUUCUUCCAUGUUCUUUGUUGAGGUAAAUGUUUUGUUACAAAAUAGAAGCUGCGGAUUGACGUUUGUCUAAACUGUUUUGCGUGGGUUGCUAUGUUAGUUCCAUCCAUAAUAUCAUCAUUACUUAGAUCUGUUCUGAUCAUAAUUUGUUUUAGUUCAUAAUUUCAAUGCAAUAAAUGAGAUUUAUCUCUGAUUGCCUUUUCUUACUCAUCUUAAAAUGGUAUCUGGGUCCUAGGAAUGAUGGAUGAAAUGUGUGCAACUUUAAGGUUCUGUCAACUGCAUGUAAGCUGCUUAUACAUCAGAUAUUAUCUUUAUUCUCUGAUUCAUUCAUGUUUGUAGCUUGCUUGAGUGGCCAUUUUAAAGAAUAUGGGCAACAUUUUACGCUCAAGAACUUUGCUUUUGUUAACAUCUAGGAGGAUCCUUGAGGACUUCAGUCAAAGUAACUCUUAUGGCAUUUAGGUUUGGAAUUAUUCUGGGAGCCAUCCUUGAAGAUAUCCUUGAACAGGUGUAUAUUAAUGAUGUCUCUACAAACAUGAGAUAGAUCAAGUGAUCCAUGGACUAUAUUUGAGAAACUGCCAUGAGAAUGAGAUGAAUUUUAAAUGUGGAUCAGACAUCUUGUAUAAAUGUGAAAUUGCAGAGACUUGAAAAGGGAAGUGGCAACCCUUUGUAGACCUUAGAUGAUGUUGAAGGACUUCUUUUUUGAACCAGUGGUGGCCAUGGGAAUUUUGUUUGCUUUUUAAGAUUUAUAUAAGGUUUUAGCUGGUGUGGAAUUUUUAUCAUUGAGGAUAACCUUUCUUGUGAAUUUUCUUUUUUGUUUUAAACUUUGCAAGCUGUAUAGUUUUUGAUAUCUGGGUCAAGCUUCUGUAUAGUUUUCAAGAUUUAUAUAAGCUUGGGUCAUCUUGUGUUGGUUCUUUA